GCGAAGCUUGCCAUCCAUCUCUUUUGACCUUUUCGUUAAAUGAUGAACUUUCUUCUUCAGGCGUUGGAUCGCGGACUUCAGCGGAAUCCCCUGUGGCAGGGGAAGUGCUUCGACAGGACACUGCCAUAGGGAGACAAAAGCGUCAAAGCACAUCUCAUUGUAUAAAGCAAAACAAAAAAAGGGGGAAGCAAAGUGGAGAAGCCCUCCAAAAGGAGAAAUCCAAUUUUAUUGAUUGAAUGUUUCUUAAAGACAAGAGGGAAAAGAAAAAUUG
rnacentral:lncRNA from 1 species